CUCUCUCUCUCUCUCUCUGCGCCUCUCCCUCUCCCUCUCUCUCUCAAUGCCUCUCCCUCUCCCUCUACGGUCGAGCUAUGUCCGCUGCACCCGUCGGAUAUAUGAUGUUCCGCAACAAGCGGGUCCUGUCCGCUUCUUCCUACUCCAAGCAGACGUAGGAAUAAAGUCCUGAUAUAGGAAUGCUGCGGAGAUUUGGCUUCUUUUCUGUCCCUAGUUAUUGGAAGGACCACCGGUUUUGGCACUAUUUGCAGGAGCACUAUUGGAAAAACAAGUUGUAGUCAUAUCCCCAAAUUUGGUUGAUUUGGGGUUGCCAUUGACACCGGGGAAUGUGACUGUUCUCCAGCUCAAGCUAAAGUGAGGAAGACAUUUUAUACAAAUGUUCCUGAUGAAUAUAUGCAAGCUGUUGAAGAUCUGGUUGUCCCAAGGACUGAAUUUGGUAAUGCAUCAGAGAAAGAGCAUUACCAUGUGAAGGUGCUUGACAAACAUGGAGUGACUCUUUCAUGCAAAUGUUCUACAACAGAAAAUGGUAGAAAACUUGAGCUUCAUAAGGCAAGUAUUACGCCUUCCUCUAGCCAAUAUUCAUAACUAGAUGCUAUUAGUAAAAUGCAUGUGCAUUGCAUUUAGGAAAUAAUUCAUAGUAUGCAAAAGAACAAUAAAAUCACGGAUCGCUCCAUGAUUUAUAUGAUCGAGGUUAAUCCGUGUAUGUUGAUUGAUCUCUGGGGACCAAAAUGUGUCCAGGAAUGGAUCCAUCCACACAUGAGUGAACCAUUGUUCUGUCCAUUGGAUGGCAUACAUGUCAAAAAUCCAGCUCAUUCAUCGGGUAGUAUACACUUUGCACAUGCCCUGGGCUAAAAACUGAUGUUGGUCUGCUAAUCAAGGAAAAUUAUGCUUCUAUGAGAAAAAUCCUAGUACACUGCACAUAUACUCAGGCCAAAGUUCAUCUUGCUCCUUUGUGAUAAAUGGGUUGGGAAUCUUAGAAUCGGAUUUUUGUGAAGGUUUUAGCAUUCUCAACCCCAAGGAUUGUGUAUGGAAUCCGCGAGCACUUAGUUCUCAACUGGUAAUCUUGGUUGGCAGGUUGAGAA